UCUGGACACCACUUACAUUCAUCAAAAAAAUCAAAGAACCAAAGAAAAAACAAAAAAGCUUACAUAAAAUGUUAAUCCUUUUACAGCUUGAAACUACUUCUGUUAGGACAUGCAAAUAGUAUAGUUUUCUUUCAGUUCUUUGUUACUCUUAAAGAAACACAUCACAUUUCUAAGUUAUAGUCUACAGUUUCCUGUUAUUGGCGCCAUAAAUGUGGUUCUAUGUACCUACUGGUUAUAACAGACCACCAUUACCUCUCGCUCUUUCCAAUGCCAAAAAGCAGGUCCGUGCAUUCAGGCGAAUAAAGACACUUACACAUGCCAUGUUAUUCCACUUCCCAGACGUUUGUAUUAAAUGUACUUAAACUGCAGGCUAAAAACAGACGACGCGUGAGCGCGAGACCAUGUUUGUCAAGUUCAGUACCACUUCUUACCUCCGUUGUGCCGAUGAGUCAGUCAACAGAGUCUCUACCACACGUGCCACUGUGAACUAGAACAUUUAGUUCUUGACGCGCGGACCUACUGAACUGAGAAACCAGUGGAAAAACGAGCAGGAUUAUUCUCUUGACUGUAACCAAAAAAAUCGACGUUAUUUGGCGACAAGGCAAGUUGGAGCUAAACUCUGCAGGACACCGGCCCUCCAGGACCGAGUUUGGAGACCCCUGACCUAGAUUAAUGGGCUGUUCAUCUUUUGAUAGAAGAAAACCAUCAUAUUCUGAAUGUCCUCACCACAAAGCCCUCAGUAAAGAAUAAUGUCUAUAUAAUAAUUUCUUUAACAGUUGAUGUCUGUAAAUUAAAAACAUAACCACAAGUGUUUUUAUUUUUCUACAUUUAAUUUUCAUGUCAGAAUCGUAAGAAAACAACAACUAAAUAUUGAUUAAGAAUAAAAAUGAACAGAGUGAUUUUUAUCCGAUAGAUUAUAUGAUCAGAAAACACAAACAGGAAAAAGGUCAAACAAGUUUACUCGGAGUGUCCCCACUUGGACCUUGCUGGAAGUGACAUAUUGGUCUGAAUCCUUAUCCUUGAAUGCCCCCCACUUGUUUGCUUGUGCCAUCCACACUGAGCAGUUUCACAUGAUAUGCUCUGUUGCAGAUUCCUGCUGCUAAGAUACCAAAAUGAGGUAGCAUUUUGUUCUACUUUCUUCCCUGCUUGAGUACUUCAAUGCCUAGAUAAUCCUGGAAAAGCUGCAGGCCUGUUGACAUAUUAGAGAUCUAUGAUUUCAGUUCAUUACAUUUUGGGCACAUUUGAAAAUGUUUGUCUCAAUCAAAUCAAUCAAAUAAAUGAACUAAACAACAUUUAUCUAUCUCUGAUAUUGUAUCUCCACAAAAUCUUUAAUAACUUGAACCUCUUAAACAGAGCUUAUCUUUCAAUCACAUCAUGUGCCUGGUUUAACUGAAAUUAAAAAAAAAAAAAAAAGGCUUGAAAAGGGAAAUCAAUCCCUUUAAAUU